AUAUAUAUAAAGUUUAAAUCAUUAAAUGAUGGUUCUUUUAUUAUUAUUUUUCCUUUCUUAUUUUCUCUUCUGUGAUCAUCUUAUUAAUCUAUAGUAGCCUAUUAUUAUAAUCAAAUCUAUAAUAUAUUGCUUUUAUCUCGUUGUGGAUAAAAGCGUCUGCUAAAUGCAUGAAUGUAAACGUUUAGCACAUAUGUGUUAUGGAGUUUGAAACAGUAUAUAUCUGUGAUGUGAUUUGUGAGGAUGUAAAUGAGUGUGUGUAAAGCGGAUUCUCUGCUCUUGUUAAUUGAAUCAGAUUUCUUCUAGUUAUAAAUCCACAGAAACUCUAUAAAGGGUUUGAGCAGAUAUAAAGAGACACACACACAGUAUAACACACUCUAUUUCAACCUUUAAGAUCUGUUUCAUAUCUUCACCUGAAACAUCAAACUGUCGGAAUAUCUGAAGAAGUAAAACAGCUGCUCAAGAUCUCCUUCAUCAUCAUCUUCAUCACGAGGAGAUUCAGAAUUCUCAUCGAGUCUUCAGAGAAAAAUUUGAGUUCCUCACACUGAAGAUUUCUCAGAAACAAAGAGAAUUAAAGUGAAUUUUCCCAAUAAUAAAACACAGAACAGCUUCCUAAUGAUGCUUGGAACUUGUUUUGGUAAUCUCACCUGAUUCUUUUUGGAUUACUUUUGGAUUACUUCUGACCCCACUCUUGUUUAUUUGACAUCAGUCACAUGCAUCUGAGUGUGAUAAUCAAAACUCUUUUGAUAUAAUGUUGCUUAUAUGCACUUAAGAAAACAUAAUAAAUCAUAGUAAAAAAGAUUGUUUUGUGUUUUACACGCUAUUUUAUUUGCAGUAAAAGUUGUUUUUUCUAAACUGUCGUCUUCCAGGUUUUCAUUUUUUUCAUUGAUUUUCAGAAUCAAUAAUCAGUAAAAGUCACUGGAAAUGAUGUAGACAGUAUUUCAGCAGUUUAGUAACUUGCAUAAUAUUUUUAUCAUGAGAUAUGGGCAGUAGGACUAUUUAGAAGGAAAAAAAUAUUUAUUAAAAAAAUAUAUGAAAACGAUUUAACAUUUAAAAUGAAGAAUUAGGAGGAUCAAUAAAUUGUGAAUAAUUUAUUGCCAUUGCCUGAUUAAUAUGUAAUCAAUACUCUGAUUAUGAAUAUUUUAAAAUGUCAUUUAAUCCAAUUACAAGUACUUGAUUUUUGUAAUUUUAUUAUGUAAUCCAGAUUACAUGUAAUCCGUUACUAACCAGCACUGAUUCUAAAAACACAAUACCAUCAAUCAAAUGAUUAUUAAUAAAUUAAGGU